rnacentral:tRNA from 1 species
CACCGAGAAUGGCAUGCCUGCAGUAAAGAUUGCUAAUCCUUCACCCCCUUGGUUAAAUCCCAAGGCUUCCUCG